rnacentral:rRNA from 1 species
AUGAGAACCAAUCCUACUACUUCUCCUCCCGGGUCUUCCACAAUUGAAGAAAAAAGUACAGGUCAUAUCGAUCAAAUUAUUGGACCCGUGCUGGAUGUCACUUUUCCCCGAGGCAAGUUACCUUAUAUUUAUAACGCUUUGGUAGUCCAGAGUAGAGACACUGACGAUAAGAAAAUUAGUGUGACUUGUGAGGUACAACAAUUAUUAGGAAAUAAUCGAGUUAGAGCUGUAGCUAUGAGUGCUACGGACGGGUUGAUGAGAGGAAUGGAAGUGACGGGAGCAGGAACGGGAGCGGGGACAGGCGCGGCGUCUUCCCGCAAGGCCAUUUCAAUCUCGUCCCAAAGCGCCUUAUGUUCGUGA